AGUGAACGCUGGCGGUAGGCCUAACACAUGCAAGUCGAACGGCAGCACAGUAAGAGCUUGCUCUUACUGUUGGCGAGUGGCGGACGGGUGAGGAAUACAUCGGAAUCUACUUUUUCGUGGGGGAUAACGUAGGGAAACUUACGCUAAUACCUCAUACGACCUACGGGUGAAAGCAGGGGAUCUUCGGACCUUGCGCGAUUGAAUGAGCCGAUUUCGGAUUAGCUAGUUGGCGGGGUAAAGGCCCACCAAGGCGACGAUCCGUAGCUGGUCUGAGAGGAUGAUCAGCCACACUGGAACUGAGACACGGUCCAGACUCCUACGGGAGGCAGCAGUGGGGAAUAUUGGACAAUGGGCGAAAGCCUGAUCCAGCCAUACCGCGUGGGUGAAGAAGGCCUUCGGGUUGUAAAGCCCUGUUGUUGGGAAAGAAAAGCAGCAGGUUAAUACCCCGAUGUUCUGACGGUACCCAAAGAAUAAGCACCGGCUAACUUCGUG
rnacentral:rRNA from 1 species